CACAACUGUGAAAUCUGGAGAGACGGGUGUAUCCAGAGACACAGCUGAGAUCUGUUUACUUGGAGCCCACUGGAGCCAAAACUGGUCGGAAAACUAACAGGUUCCACUAGAGGAGAGUAAGUGCCAGUGUUCCGCCAACUCAGGAACUGACCAGACCCUGCAGGCACAGUGAGAAGACUCCCGGGAGAAAACUCAGGAGUAAAAAUGGAGAUAGUAAUACUUCCCACUGAAACUACCAUAAACAUCCAGAAAAUGGAGCAGGAAAACACAGCCCAGGGAUCAGAAAAGCCCUCAGUCCAGUCAGUUAAACCUUGGAGUGACCAGGAAAUCCGGAGUUUCCUGCAAGAAUGGGAAUUUCUUGAACGUGAGGUGUACAGGGUGAAGAAGAAGUAUCACAUAGUAUCAAAAGCAAUUGCUCAGCGUCUCAAGCAGAGGGGUAUCAACAAGAGCUGGAAGGAAUGUCUCCAGAUGCUAAUAAGCUUGCAGGACUUAUACUUCACUAUUCAGGAGGCCAACCAGAGGCCAAGGUGCCAACCCUUGCCAUGUCCUUAUGGUGAGGCCCUGCACAGGAUUCUGGGGUACAGAUGGAAGAUCAGCGUCUUCUCAGGUCCUCCCUGUGCAGAUGUGGUUAACCUCGCACCUCCCGAGCACCCGCCCCAGGCCUAUGGCGUUCCCAUAGUCUUUCAGGAGCCGAUGUGGGCCCCAACACCUGUGAUCUAUGUGGAAAAUCCUCAGGUACCCGGAUGGGAGCCCUGGAACAUGAAUGGUCAUGUUCCAUAUAUGUAUCCUGCUUUGCCUCCGGCAGCCCCAGGCCCCCUGACACAGUGGGCCAUCU
rnacentral:lncRNA from 1 species